UGAAGACUCACUUGGGAAGAAGAAAAGACAAAAUUUUGAGCUGGCCCUCUAAAUGAAGGUUGUGCAACCUGCACCUCCAAGGUCAGUCAACCAUCUCUCUGAAACCUCCAGCUCCAGCUCUUGAUUCCUCAAGCAUGCAAGCUCACAGACAUUCUCCCAGUUCUUUGAUUUAUUGUCUUCAAUUUUCAUUGUUAAAUGGACCCAUUGUGGACCUUCGCUCCCACAAGUAAAUAUGCAGUAUCUCUCACUUAAUGUCAAUGUUUGCAGAGUACCACAAAAGCUGUUAGAGGAAUUAAUCACUUUUUGAUUUCCAUGGGAUAGUAGACAACAUGUGAGAGAGAACUUAGGCAAUGAUAUCUGUUAUUAUCACCCUUCUGAAACUCACCACUGCUGAGUGAAAAUGAGCUUUGUGAAGGUAACCAAUCACUGGUCACCACAUGUGUUCCCUCAGUAUAACAUUAAGGGUAAAACUCAUCACUUUGAACAGCAUCAACAUGGUCUUGUGUAACACCAAUUCUCACUCACCCAUUUCUUUCAGAGGAGAUGAAAGAGGUAUCUGUUUAUCCAGGAUACCCUGGGUUUGCAUUUCACCACUCCCAAUGCAAGUAAUGAUUUGCUGGACAACCAUCAGACUAGCCAGACACAGACUUUCUGUGCUGCAAGGUAGCAUGGAGCUAUAGUAGCUCUGCACAUUGAGUGAGAAGUCAGAUAAAUUGUAACACCCAGUAU